rnacentral:rRNA from 1 species
AUGGCCUCCAACCAGAACCAGGCGAGCUACAUGGCCGGCGAGACCAAGGCCCGCACCGAGGAGAAGACCGGGCAGAUGAUGGACAAGGCGGGCCAGGCCACGGAGGCCACCAAGCAGAAGGCCGGCGAGACGGCCGAGGCCACCAAGCAGAAGGCCGGCGAGGCCAAGGACAAGACGGCCCAGACGGCUCAGGCGGCCAAGGACCGCGCCGCCGAGAGCAAGGACCAGACCGGCAGCUUCCUCGGCGAGAAGACUGAGGCGGCCAAGCAGAAGGCGUCGGAGACGGCGCAGUACGCGCAGGAUAGGUCCUCCGACGCCGCGCAGUACACCAAGGAAUCCGCCGUUGCCGGCAAGGACAAAACCGGCAGCGUGCUCCAGCAGGCCGGCGAGACGGUGGUGAGCGCGGUGGUGGGCGCCAAGGACGCGGUGGCGAACACGCUGGGCAUGGGCGGUGACAACACCACCAAGGACACCACCACCAGGAAUCACUAG